CCACAGCACCAUCACCCCCCAACCCAAGAAUCCUCCAGGCUCUUCCUGAUUUUUCAUCCUGAAUUUCCCAACCUUGGGAAAAAUUGAAAAAACCACAGGCUUUUUUUUUCCCCAAAAAAACCCCAAAUGAGGUUUUGCUUUGGGAAUUUGGUGUAAAAAACUGGAAUGUGAGCACAUUCUCCAGGCUUUUGUUGAGGAGGAAUUCUCCAUGGAGAAACUUUUCCAGCUGCUGCCAAGGAAUUGCUGGGUUUGGUUUUAAUGAGGACGAGAAUAAAAAGGAAAAGAAAAAUACAAAAAUACCCCAAAAAACAACAAGAAAAUUCUUUUUAAAGGUUUUCAGCUUUUCUCCUGUUGUGACAGCUUGGAGUUCCUUUUUUAUCCUGGGAUUUCCAAAGGCAUGGAGCAAAAAAAUGUGGAAUUUUAGGCUUUCAAAGGAGAAAAAAAUUCCUUAAAACCCUACCAAAAUAAUAAAAAAAAAGGAUUUUU